GAUGAAGAACGCAGCGAAAUGCGAUAAGUAGUGUGAAUUGCAGAAUUCAGUGAAUCAUCGAAUCUUUGAAUGCACAUUGCGCCCCUCGGUAUUCCGUGGGGCAUGCCUGUUCGAGCGUCAUUUAACCCCUCAAGCCUAGCUUGGUAUUGGGUGCUUGUCCCGCCUCUCGCGCGGCGACUCACCUCAAAGUCAUUGGCAGCCCGCAUCUCGCCGGCCGUGAGCGCAGCACAGACGCGCUCUUGGCAACGACGGAUCGGCUCUCCAAAAGCUUAUUUCAACCACUGACCUCGGAUCAGGUAGGGAUACCCGCUGAACUUAAGCAUAUCAAUAAGCGGAGGA
rnacentral:misc_RNA from 1 species